rnacentral:rRNA from 1 species
UACGUAGGGGGCUAGCGUUGUCCGGAAUCAUUGGGCGUAAAGAGCGUGUAGGCGGCUCGGUAAGUCCGCUGUGAAAGUCGGGGGCUCAACCCUCGAAUGCCGGUGGAUACUGUCGAGCUAGAGUGCGGAAGAGGCGAGUGGAAUUCCUGGUGUAGCGGUGAAAUGCGCAGAUAUCAGGAGGAACACCGAUUGCGAAGGCAGCUCGCUGGGACGUUACUAACGCUGAGACGCGAAAGCGUGGGGAGCAAACAGG